CAUCAAGACCCUUUCUUUAAAGUGCAAGUAUUUUGAUAUCUAACUGGAUGUCUCAAUUAACAGAAGAGUCACGUCUAGGAAGGAUGUUUGAAAUGUUACAUUAGGAGGCUGACAGCUGUUACUUCCUGAGGUUUGGAGGUGAGAAUUAUUGACACAACCCCAGUAUCAUGGAGCACUCCUCUCUGCAAGUGUAAACCGCUGUGUGUUGUUUGAAGAACACUGCACGUGCUAUCUUCCUCAGUACUAUUCUGUUUUUCUCAUCUCUGGGAUUCAAAGAAAUUGUGUAUACAGCAAAGAAACCUCAACUGGGAUGAAAUGGAGCUGGAUGACAGAGGACCUAGUGUUUGGGUUUCUUGGAAGAGCCUUAACUGGGACAUUGGUCAGGAAAUGUUACCAAUGCUAUUUGUCAUGCUAAAAGGAGAUGUGACCAAAUAGAAAGGACUGUGGGGACCACGAAAGGAGAGUAAAUAGGCUCUGGCUGGUUCUGAAUUCUGGGAUCUCAUUAACAGUCAUCAGGAGCAGACAAGCUGGUCGUGUUCUGGGGCAUUCCAAUUUGUGCCACAGAAAGGCUCUCAGAGAAAAGUGCCACUUAAGCCUUCCUGUCAUGCCUGGGAGUGUCAGAAAGUUGUUUGGUAUGACUCAAAGCCUGAUUAUAGUUUGGCUUGUAUAACCACCAUCUGCCUGCAUGAUUUAUCUCAGCCUUUUUAACAGUAUGGUUUUAGUUAUAGCAUUGGGAGUUUUUAGGUGUGAUAAAUGGUAAGAGUAAAUUACCCCUUUAGAUGAAGAAGCAUAUGUUAUGAAGAUUAGCAUUAUCAAGCAGUUUAUAAUGUAUUUUGUUCUUAAGGGAAAAUUUUAUGGAAAUUUGAAUCAUCAAUUACAAUGAAUCUGAAGUACCACCAAGAGUUGCUUCACUCCCCCAUCUUUCUAAAUUAAUUAGUGCUGUCCUCAUUUUCAGUAGAACUGAGUGGCUGCCUUUUGUUCGGCUUGCCUAACAAUGCAAUUGCAGACCAAACUAGUGCCUGGAAGAAUUCACAUAGCUGCUUGAAAAUUCAGUAACGUUGCAGGACGUUGGACAGAAAACCCAAGAUGUCUGGGACUAUCAGGAAAGUUGUCAAAAAAAUGUAACAGAAGAUUAUGGCCUAAUCUGCAGCCUGUUUUUCUUAGCGUGGUGCCUCUUCAACAUCUCCUAAUCUAUUCCUCUUUUGCUUUCACUUAUAUCCCUCCAACUGCCUCAGAGAAACACACUUAUGUAUACAUAAAUGUGCUUUAAUAUUCAUACAUCUAACAUAUUUAUCCCUUCUUCAGUCUUCCUCCUUUAUGAAAAAAAUAGAACAAGCUUUAGGAAUCAGAUGACUAUAAUGUUGUUUUUCGAAUGAUUUUAAACUUAUUACUUGACAAUUAUGCUUCAUUAGUAGUUCAGAAAACUAGCAAUUUCACAUGUAAGAAGUUAAUUUCUUAGGUUAACAAAGAUUAUACAAGGCACAGGGAAUGCAAAGAAGCUAAAUAAACACUUGUUGUUUCUUUAUUGUUGUUGUUGGUUAUAAUUCCCUCUAAGCUGUAAGCCCUAUGAAGAUGGAAAUUGUGUCUGAUUUUUCCACCAUUAUAUUGUCAACACUUAAAACAAUGUCCAGUGUAUAGAAAGUGCUCAAUAAACAUGUGCAAAGUGAAUGAUCUCGUUGAAC
rnacentral:lncRNA from 1 species